AGUUUGAUCAUGGCUCAGGACGAACGCUGGCGGCGUGCCUAACACAUGCAAGUCGAACGGAGUAUUCAGCAAUGGAUACUUAGUGGCGAACGGGUGAGUAACGCGUAGACAACCUACCUUCUAGAUGGGGACAACAUUCCGAAAGGAAUGCUAAUACCGAAUGUAGUAUUUGAAGCACCUGCUUUAAAUACCAAAGGUGGCCUCUGAAUAUGCUACCGCUAGAAGAUGGGUCUGCGUCUGAUUAGCUAGUUGGUGAGGUAAUGGCUCACCAAGGCGACGAUCAGUAGCCGGUCUGAGAGGAUGAACGGCCACACUGGGACUGAGACACGGCCCAGACUCCUACGGGAGGCAGCAGUGGGGAAUCUUCCGCAAUGGACGAAAGUCUGACGGAGCAACGCCGCGUGAGUGAAGAAGGUUCUUGGAUCGUAAAGCUCUGUCUUCAGGGACGAAUGUUAUCCUUGUAAAUAAUGAGGGUAAAUGACGGUACCUGAGGAGGAAGCCACGGCUAACUACGUG
rnacentral:rRNA from 1 species